CUCGACUGUCUUUCCUCCUGAAGACCUAGCGUGCUUUACGGUGCGUUAGGAAUUCGGGACAGUUACCUUGAAAAAAUUAGAGUGCUCAAAGCAGGCCUGUGCUUGAAUAUAUUAGCAUGGAAUAACGGAAUAGGACUUUGGUUCUAUUUUGUUGGUUUCUAGGACCGAAGUAAUGAUUAAUAGGGAUAGUUGGGA
rnacentral:rRNA from 1 species